UUUCUCCACACUGACUUAGAAGACAAAUUGAAAUAAAAGUUUAAUUGCAAAGUAAAAAAAAAAAAAAAAAAUAAGAGUAACUCCCUAAAAUUUGCUGUCAGUUGAAAGUAACUCCAAUAAAACUGCCAAUAAGAUUUUUUUUUUUGGCUUGAUUAACUAAUGCUAAAAUGAACAUAGAAGUGAACAUACAACAAUAGGAACAUUAUGGAAAAGAAGAGUAAUGAGAGGUAGAACCAGCUGUGUGAUAUUAAAUGUAUCAUUAAGCUACAGUAAUUAAAAGCUUGUGAUGAAGGCACAUAUAUAGAUGUAGAGACCAAUGAAAUAAAAUGUGAAGAUUGAAGAGAGACCCUCAACCACACAUGACAUGAUAAAAGUGAUGAUGAAAAUGGCAUCUGAAAUCAGUUGCGGGGGUGGGGUGGGGGGUGGAUCUGUAGUGCACACUUGUACCAGAAUGGAAUCAGACUUUAAAGAGUAGAGUCACAAGAGAAAUGGAGCUAAACCAGGGUAGAAAUUUUUUAUGAUUUUAAAUUAAGUUUUUUUAAAACAAAAUCCUAAGCAGAAGAAAAAGAUUCAUAGACUGCAUAAAAAGUGUAAAUUUUUGCUUAUCUAAAAACUACCACAAGUAAAGUCAAAUGACAACUUGAAGAAACAUUUACAACUCAUUAGAGAUAAUGGGCAAAGUUCCUUCAUGUAGGAGCAGUUUCUGCCAAUCAGUAAGAAAGAGACCCAACAGUUCAGGAGUGUAGAAAUAAACAUUCAUGCAUUGAUGGUGGGAAUACAAAUUGGGAAAGUCUUUAUGAAGGAUAAUUUCACAGGAUUCAUCAGAAUUAUACAUGUAUAAACCUAUUUGACUCAACAAAUCCACAUCCAGAAAUAUAUGCUGAGUUGAAAUGAAAUAUGCUUGAGGUUUACUGAAGAAUUGUUUUUGGUAGCAAGACAUUGGAAACAACCUUAAUAUUCAUUAUAGAAGACUGGUUAAAUAAAAUAGUAUCUAUUCAAGAUAGAAUAUUAUGCAAUUAUGAAAAAGAAAGAGGAAAUUACUGAUGUGGAAUGAUGUAAAUGUUACAUUAAAAAACAAAUGAAGGUAUAGUGUAGUGUGUGUUAGGUUGCAAUUUGAGUAGAAAUGAAAAUAUUAUAUGAUGCUUGUUGGAAGGAGUCACAAGAAG
rnacentral:lncRNA from 1 species